AGUAUGUACCUGUAAAAUCAACAUGGAUUAAGGACAAAAAUGGACACAAUGUAACCAAAGUGAUCUCCUACGUAGUUGAUCUGAUAAAUAAUGCAGGCAACAGUAAUUAAAACAGCUGACCAAUUUGAUGGUUUCAAGAUAAAAGAGUUGCUUUAUGGACUUCAUAAAAUAUGGUCAGUACACACUAUAAGGUAUUUUUCUUUUAAACACUUCAGAAUCAAUACCUCUAUAGUAUCUCAAGGUUAUUCAGGUUGUCUCCAUUUCAUGUAUUCUAGAAUGUCAUUAUUGACUUUGCACUUGACAUUCUUCCCUGUGUCUGUUAGACUGGCCUUGGCAGCAAAGAAAGGCCAUAUGGUGCCCAUCCAUAUGGAUAGGCUGGCUGGAUUUUAGAAUCUUAUUCCCUACUGAUGUUCCUGUUGUGUGAACAGAAUAACUUCUAUUUAAGAGUAAAACAUGUGGGAUUCCAGCCUUGCAUAUUGUAUCAGUUAGAAAAUGUGCUCAAUUGUGAGGAGCAGAGACCUGAAAACAGGGCUUAAACACACUAGAUGUGGUACAGGGGCUCUGCAACCUCAUUGUAGACUUUCCAUCCCUCUUCUCUGACAUCUUUGAGUUGUGACUCCUUUCCUCAAGGCUGCCUCAUACAUAUAAAGUGGCUACUAGAACUCCAAACGGCAUUUUCUCAUUCCUAGUAGGAAGAAGGGAAAACACAAGGAACAAAAGGAGCAUGCCAGCUGAGUCAUUGCCUAUUUUUAAGGAGCAUUACCAGAAGACACACCCAACAACUUAUGUUUGCAUCUCAUUGGCUAGGAUUUAGUCUUAUGCACCUCUCAUCUUCUAGGAAUCCUGGGAAAUCUAGUAUAUUUUAGGAAAAGAAGAUUUGGUGUCUACACUGCUAGUACUCCAGUUCAGCUUUCGCUGACCAUGACUCUAUUUGGCUAACUGCACAGAUCACAAUCAUACAUUUUGGACAAAAUGUCUUUGGAGAAGCCGCAUUGAAGAUAUUGCAACUGGAAGACCCUUCUGAAAUAGAAAAUCUCUAUUUAUCCUAAGGUCUCUCUUGAAACAAAAGAGCUUCCUAGCAACAUAUUUUGGAAAUGCUGAAAUUAAAGUUCAGGCUUAUGUCCUUAUGUACUUAAAAUAUGAGAGAUGAGAAGAUAAAAGAAUAGAGUGCUGAGGAAUGAAACUUUCUUUUAAGGCGUGAAUGUUUGGGCUCGGUACAUAAAUAGAAAGGGUAAUUUCAUUUAAAGAAAAAGAAAAAUGAAAUCCCUUUGUCUCACAUAAGUAAAUGAUGUAUCUGUUCCAGAAC
rnacentral:lncRNA from 1 species